GGCCAAUACAUUGGUUGAAGUUCUACACCGAUAAAGUUCUCAUUGAGCUUGGCCAACGAAAGUGUUAUGAGUCUUCUAACAUUUUCAUUCAUCUUUGUGAGUGAACACAUAGAAACACUUGAAGAGAUUGGCAUGGAGUACAGUGUGUUGGCUCUUGAAUCCGACAUUCAAAACUGGCGAUGUGUACGUGCCCUCAAUUGCAUAUCUUCCUUCAUCAUGAAUCUCCAAUGAAGACGUCCAUGUCUUUGUGAGAUAUGCUAUCAAAAUGAAGAGGUGAGAGAAGGAAACAGAAUCAGAGUGAUUCUGCCCCAACCAACAUUUUUUGAUAAAUUGGAGAGUCAUGUUCCCAUUUAUAUAACAGAGUGAAACACAUGCAGUUGCAGAUGAAUUGAAAGCAGCUAGAAAUGAAGUAAAUGACUGCAUCCCAUUACCAGAUGCAAAUUGAGAGCCAUACUCUUCAAAAGCAGAGUGAAGGUCAUAAUGAAAUUUAGCAGAUAUCAAAGGAAAGGAAAUUAACUGAAAGUGAUGCUGUGUCCCACCAAUUGGAUUACUAUGUUGUCGGUGCAUGACAAAUCGUCGCAGUUUUCACAGAUUCAUGAAAUCAUUUUAUAGUAUUAGUAUAUUUCUAAAUAAAAUUUUAAAAAUUUUUACACCCCUUGUAGCUUUGCCAGUCAAGAAAAUAUUUUACAAUCAGUUGUCUUGAGAGAAAAAUCUAACCGUAAAACUACUAUCCAUUAAUCGCGCUAUAUAUAGGUAAUGUUUAUUUUCAGUUGUUGGCC